UACGUAGGGGGCAAGCGUUAUCCGGAUUUACUGGGUGUAAAGGGAGCGUAGGCGGCUUAGUAAGUCAGAAGUGAAAGCCCGCAGCUCAACUGCGGGACUGCUUUUGAAACUACCAAGCUAGAGUGUCGGAGAGGUAAGUGGAAUUCCUAGUGUAGCGGUGAAAUGCGUAGAUAUUAGGAGGAACACCAGUGGCGAAGGCGGCUUACUGGACGAUGACUGACGCUGAGGCUCGAAAGCGUGGGGAGCAAACAGG
rnacentral:rRNA from 1 species